GAAAGACCGGCACCCUGGAGGAGAGGAUGGCCUCGGAGGAGUUCGGCUCUCAGAGUGAGCCCUUUUGGAGGGGGCUCUGUUACACCACGGCGAACUCGCGGCCACCGAGACGGCGUGGACUACAUUUCCCAGCCACGCCCGCACUCAAGUUUGUCCGAAUAUUGAGUGCCAACACUUGUGUGCUACCCAAGGUUAUUUAAGACCUUGUUAACAUAGCGCGGCGCGAAGUAACGCUUAGCUUUCCCUAGACGCUAGCUAGUUACCAAGCUCCCUACUACGCUUCGGACUUACAUGGUUAAGGGCUCUAGCCUCGUUUUCUAUUUACGAUUCUCGGAUCUCGUCUUGGAUUAUUCCUUUCGCUUCGGACUGAGUGCUUGGCGCUUCACGCCUCCCUCGCCUUCUUGUCACUGCUCGGCCCGCGCUUGCCUCCCAUCUGGUAACGUAACACCGGUUGAGUUUACCAUUUAAGGAAUCCAGUGGAAUAGGAUGAACAGGGGUAUGACAUGGGUUCUCUUGGGCUGGUUGAAUACAAGGCGUGCUGCUGCAUUCUGAAUCAUCUGAAGGGGUUUGAUGGAGCUGGCUGGGCGGCCCGAGAGUAGUACGUUGCAGUAGUCCAGUUCCGAUAUGACAAGAGUCUGGACUAGUAGCUGUGUAACCUGUUCGCCACAUCAGUCAAUUUCUGGCAACCGGCAGAAUCAAGGUAUACUAAAACAAUUAUUAUUUCUUUUUUUUGAUAACUACACACAUGGAUACAGAUAUUGAUCUGAAUAAUGUUUUUGUGACUUGUUUAAGGAAGUGUGAAUGAUCCACAAUCUCUUCGAGUUGGUAACUAUUUAAUUUAAUAAUAAUUAUCUUACAGUCAGUUUUAUUAAUUGUCUCCCAAACAGACUUAUGUUGACUUAUGGCAGUGUUCUUUUUUUUUUUUUCAUUGCUGUAGUUAGUAUUGUCAUUGAUGUUUCAAAACAAAUUCUGGACAGAAAUCUACAAGUUAUGAAAUUUGAUAGUUUGGAGAGGAGAAUCAUGCUGAAACUAGACCAAAUCCAGGACAACAUCACAGCAGCGGUCGGAACAAUGCACUAGUCAAUGAGCCAGCCAAGCACAUCUGUCUCUGAUCUUAUAGAGGUGCUAGAGGUGCCUUGUAAGACUGUGGAGGAAUUAACAGAGCUGUGAGAUAAGCUGAAAGAUGCUGACUUUCGAAAGAAGAAUGAUUCGUUAUCUGUGUCUUCAGAGUGGAGGCAGCUUGGGAGAUGGAAUUAGGAGGAUGCUGAAAAAAAUUACAGUUACAAAGGGAGAAAGGAAAAACGUAAAUUUCAGCAGCUCCUAAUCAAUGAUGUCAUCACACAUAAGUUUCAAAACUUGUCACUAAUAACUAAUAACGUGUCUGUGUCAAUCCCCAAGAUCUCAAAAAUGUUUUGGAAUGCAGAAAGGUUGUAAAUAAGAAUGUACAUUGUAAAUGUAAAAGUUGUUAGUUCUCAGUACAUAAAUAUUCAUACCAUGGUCUAUUAUAAAAACAAGAGUAAUGUUGAUGCUUUUUGAAUAGAACUUUAGUCUGAGUUCUAGUUUAAAUAACUGUGAUCUCUGUAUUGACUCAAGGUGCCUGCAGUAAGUCAUACCCACACCAAAAUCCCAGAGUGUGGAGGAAAUGAUUGCUGUGACCCUAAAACAUGCCCCAUAUCAUGCAAAAACAGCAAAGCAGGCAAGUGCAUUAUAACAUUUAAUUCCAACAGUUAUAAACAAUCAGCAAAAAAAAAAAAAAAGACAGACAGAUAGAUGGAUAGAUAGACAGAUGGAUAGACAGAUCGAUGGAUAGACAGACAGAGAGAUAGAAGGACAGACAGACAGAUGGAUAGACAGAGAGAUAGAUAUACAACAGAGUAUAAUUUGUACCUGUUUGUCAGCAUUAUAGCUUUGGGUCACACACUUUGAUCCGGAUGAUCAAACGCAUAAUGGAGUUCCAAAUAUCGAGCGUAAUUUAUGCCGGAAAGCCGACCCCUGCACUCUGCUCUCCACUUACCGUGCUAUUUCAACAUGAACAGCACCAGCACACAGGUGCACCUCGAGCCAUGGGGUGCUCAGGAAUUAUUUACCUGGCACCAGGCACAAGCGAUCGUGGAGGUCGGGUUUGACACAGAGGACGUAGUGUUGGAGGAUCUGGACCGGCAGCGAUGGGGAUAAAAAUCAACAUCGGGAGACCAAGGAGAAAAUGAUGUGAUGGGCCAUACCCUGGGUGUAAGUGCCAGCCUUACGUCUCCCCAAGGGUGGCCCUCUACUGUACGCAAAAUGCAUGGGCUGAAGUCGACCAGCAUACCAGAGGACACUGCUGGCAUGGGGGAACGUAACCAGGAUAUGGUGGAAAUAAUGCAUGGGUUAAUUGAAUUGUUAUGAAUUGUUUAAAUGCAAGCAAUGUGUAAUAGCCUGUGAACACAACCAGGCACCGGCAUAAGAAAAAGGGUGCUGUCGAGCGCAAAAGUGCUGGCAGGGUGGGAAUUUUUCCUCAUUAGAAGUAGUAAGUGUAAUCAGUAUAAUCUCAUAGUGAUUUAUCCAGUAUUUAAUCAGAUACACUUGUUUUUAAUCAGGAUCUAAUGUGUUAAAGGCAGUAUAUACCUUGACAAGUGAUUACAGGAAAACCCAUGGCUAGGUUCAUCUAUUUGAGUUCAGCUCAGAGUACCAAAUACCAAUUUACUUUGAGGCCCCUAGUCGACUGGCUGUUGAGAGUCUUCCACAUGCCCUACAGAACCUCCAUAGGACCUGCAAUGGAUAGCUGCACAGUGACGCAGAGACGGAGUCUGUUCCAUUCCGUGUUUUAAUUAAUGGAAGAAAAAAAAAGAGAGAGAUGAAGAGAAGGUUGUGGUCUUCGGAAGCAAUAAAAAGAACAGGUGACUAAAGGAGGAGAAAUGAGCAGGAGGCGGAAAUGAGCGGGACGCGGAACUGAGAGCCAGGUGGGAAUGGCGGAAUUGAUGGUGUGCGUUUGCCAGGGACCAUGCUAAUCCUUUUACUGUGGAUUAUAAUCUUGUGGAUAUUGAUUCCGGAGGCUGGCGAACACUUCGGGAAUGUCCUGCCAAGGUGAAUCAACGAGUGAGCGGAGCUUUGAGGGUUUGGAGGCACAUCACGGGUUUGAGAUCAUUUCUUUAAUACUUUUGUGGAGAACCAGUAUGCUUAAAUCGUCGGAUGUUACUGUCUGUAAAUAACUCUGAGUGUUAAGCGGAAUCUGACUGCCGGUUUCCCAUGCUUUCAAGUUCUUGGGACUCCCAUAUGCCUAAAUCACCACCAUUGAAGUGUCACUUUUAAAGUGAACAGCUUUUUUGUUUUGGUUAAGAAUUAUUUUGUGGUUAAAUGUGUUUUUUCUGCUUUUUGUGUGUGCAAAUUUUCUUGUAUGAAUAGAGACUUGUUUCCUUA